rnacentral:rRNA from 1 species
UACCUGCAGCUCGAGUGGUAACCGCUAUUAUUGGGCCUAAAGCGUCCGUAGCCGGUUUGGUAAAUAUCUGGGUAAAUCGUGAGGCUUAACUUCACGAAUUUCGGAUAGACUGCCAGACUUGGGAUCGGGGGAGGUCAGAGGUACUCCAGGGGUAGCGGUGAAAUGUUGUAAUCCUUGGAGGACCACCGGUAGCGAAGGCGUCUGACUAGAACGAGUCCGACGGUGAGGGACGAAGCCCUGGGGCGCAAACCGGAUUAGAUACCCGGGUAGUCCAGGGUGUAAACGAUGUGGGCUUUGUAUUGGAGGUCCCACGUGGGCGUCCAGUGCAGAAGAGAAGUUGUUAAGCCCACCGCCUGGGAAGUACGGUCGCAAGGCUGAAACUUAAAGGAAUUGGCGGGGGAGCGCAGCAACGGGAGGAGCGUGCGGUUU